rnacentral:rRNA from 1 species
AAGACCCGUGCCCACAGUUGCCAGCAUGCCCUCCGGGGUGAUGGGCACAUUGUGGGGACCGCCUCUGCUAAAGCGGAGGAAGGAGCGGGCUACGGUAGGUCAGUAUGCCCCGAAUUAUCCGGGCUACACGCGGGCUACAAUGGUCGGGACAAUGGGCUCCUACACCGAAAGGUGAAGGUAAUCUCCUAAACCCAUCCUUAGUUCGGAUUGAGGGCUGCAACUCGCCCUCAUGAAGCCGGAAUCCGUAGUAAUCGCGUAUCAACAUCNCGCGGUGAAUAC